rnacentral:lncRNA from 1 species
UCAAGCGAUUCUCCUGCCUCACCCUCCUGAGUAGCUGGGACUACAGGCCUGCGCCACCACACCUGGCUAACUUCUGAAUAUCAAGCUGAAAUUACUAUCAGAUAUCUUGCCACCACAUAGAGGCUUUGAGUGAAGUCUGCAUGGAGGAGAACAGAGCUGAGAGAUGGAAAGAUACUGAAUCCCAGUGACGUCCUUUGAGAUGUCGGAUCAAGCUGAGCUGGGCAUGAAGAUAGAGCUACUCCUAUACUUUUAAGAUACUCUACCACUCACAGAAACUACCUUUUAGUGCAACCACGGUGGAACCCUGCCAUAGUAUCUCUAGCAAUAACAAGCAAGAUUCAGAAGUCCAACAAGUAAGACAUUGAUUUCAUUAAGAGAGAACUAGUAAGCAAGCUAUUUGGGAAGUACACUCUCAUAAGAAUAUUGUUUCAUGAAGUCUUGAGCAACAAAGGAAAUAGUCCAUGAAGUGCACUGCUGUCAGACUCCCUCUAAGAAUACUUCAACUGCUCAUGAAGCGGGGGGCCUUAACUAUUUACUUCUUUUGGAAGCCUCCAUCUGGCCCAUCUAUCUUUAUUCUCCCAGGAUCACAGGAUGAAGUACAGCUUGGCUGACCCAGUUCUUGGGAUGGGAGGAUUAAUGAACUCUCUAAACCAAACUUUUGGAGGAAAAGAACUUCAGAGGAGUUGGGUUCUGAUGGACAUCACUUGGGAAUGUUGAGAAAUGAUCUACCAUAAUAGCCACCAUCAAACCCAGUUGUUUCAAAAAAU